UUUACAGCUUUUCAAAUCUCAAAGUUUGUACCUGACCAUUUGCCUGCCCAUGUGCACAUGCAUCUUUUUUGCAUGUUACAAUAUGUAACAUACAUAAGAAACACAAUGUGUUUCUUGUGUCUAUGAACAUAUUACCUGAGGUCUUGUCUGUCAGAACAGGUUUAGCAUCACCUAUCCCAUCACUGCACUGCUUCGUAAGGCAAAGAAACUUAGCCUGAGAUAUCGACAAAAACAAACCUAUUUAACUUGUUGCAAUUAGGGGGUGUACAUAAAGCAUGUGGUCAAUUUUCAGGAAAUUUGGACCCCCCCACCCCCCUGUGUAACCUAUUUCUAAGCAGCAUGUCAUAAUCGUCAUGGAAAGCAUAAGAUGCCUUUACCCUUACCCCUUCAAAUCUAUCACAGGCAUUCUGCACAGUCAUCUUCCAUAAAGCUUGCCUCGAUUUCUUGGAAAUGGUUGUUUAUUCACAUCUUGUAGGGUAUGCACAUGUGUGUAACAGAUUCCAAGAAAUUUUACCUCACGCAAAAUCUUGUGAGAGAUGAUUUCGUAUAAAUAGAUAAGAUUUGCCCAGAUCGAAAUUAUGUCGAUCCUCCUUUUCAUAAGGGAAAAUAAAACUAACUAUUGCAGUUUAAAUCAAGAAUAAAAUAGCUCCUUAAGUCCGAUGGAUUUCAGCGCAAACUUGGUAAUGAAGGGGGUUGUCUUGCUCCUAGGAUUUUUGGCCAUGCUCAGCGUCGCACAGGCCUGCAUUGCUUCCGGGCAGCCCUGCAAAGCCGACGCGAGUUGGGGGAAUUGUUGCAGCGGUUUUUGCAGUCAACAAGCCAGCCUUCCAUAUGGAAAUUGUCGCUAAUUUUUGGCAAACAAAUAUGCACUAUAAAAAGAUGGAUGUUAUGUAUUUAUGGAAAGGUUAUUAAUGAUUAUAUUUCUUACAUAAUUGGCCACUCACUUAAUUAUUAAAACAAUUUGAUUAGUACCAAAUUAGA